AGUCGAGGGGCAGCGGGGCGGCAGGCUUGCCUGCCGUUGCCGGCGACCGGCGCACGGGUGAGUAACACGUAUGCAACCUGCCCGUGGCAGGGGGAUAAGCGGGGGAAACCCCGUCUAAUACCGCGUAACGCGGCCUAGGGACAUCCCAAGGCCGCCAAAGGGAGCAAUCCCGGCCACGGAUGGGCAUGCGGCGCAUUAGCUAGUCGGCGGGGUAACGGCCCACCGAGGCGACGAUGCGUAGGGGUUCUGAGAGGAAGGCCCCCCACACUGGUACUGAGACACGGACCAGACUCCUACGGGAGGCAGCAGUGAGGAAUAUUGGUCAAUGGGCGCGAGCCUGAACCAGCCAAGUCGCGUGAGGGAGGACGGCCCUACGGGUUGUAAACCUCUUUUGCCGGGGAGCAACGGGCGUCACGUGUGGCGCCACUGAGAGUACCCGGAGAAAAAGCAUCGGCUAACUCCGUGCCAGCAGCCGCGGUAAUACGGAGGAUGCGAGCGUUAUCCGGAUUUAUUGGGUUUAAAGGGUGCGUAGGCGGAUCGUUAAGUCAGUGGUCAAAUUGAGGGGCUCAACCCCUUCCCGCCAUUGAAACUGGCGUUCUUGAGUGGAAGAGAAGUAUGCGGAAUGCGUGGUGUAGCGGUGAAAUGCAUAGAUAUCACACAGAACACCGAUUGCGAAGGCAUCUCACGAAUCCGCGAUUGACGCUGAUGCACGAAAGCGUGGGUAUCAAACAGGAUUAGAUACCCUGGUAGUCCACGCUGUAAACGAUGAUGACUAACCGUCGGCGAUACACAGUCGGUGGCCAAGCGAAAGCGAUAAGUCAU
rnacentral:rRNA from 1 species